CGAGGGAGAUUGACAGAGGGUUUCCGGUUUGGUAGAGCUGGUUGUCAUCAGCAUAGCAGUGGAAGUGAAUGUUAAAUUUGCAGAAGAUAUUGCCAAGGGGAAGGAGGUAGAUGAUGAAAAGGAGGGGCCCCAGGACGAAGCCCUGGUGCACACCUGAAGUGACCGAGGAGGGGGUGGGUUUAAAGGA